AACGAACGCUGGCGGCAGGCCUAACACAUGCAAGUCGAACGGCAGCACAGAAGAGCUUGCUCUUUGGGUGGCGAGUGGCGGACGGGUGAGUAAUGUCUGGGAAACUGCCCGAUGGAGGGGGAUAACUACUGGAAACGGUAGCUAAUACCGCAUAACGUCGCAAGACCAAAGUGGGGGACCUUCGGGCCUCACACCAUCGGAUGUGCCCAGAUGGGAUUAGCUAGUAGGUGGGGUAAUGGCUCACCUAGACGACGAUCCCUAGCUGGUCUGAGAGGAUGACCAGCCACACUGGAACUGAGACACGGUCCAGACUCCUACGGGAGGCAGCAGUGGGGAAUAUUGCACAAUGGGCGCAAGCCUGAUGCAGCCAUGCCGCGUGUAUGUAGAAGGCCUUCGGGUUGUAAAGUACUUUCAGCGGGGAGGAAGGCGGUGAGGUUAAUAACCUUGCCGAUUGACGUUACCCGCAGAAGAAGCACCGGCUAACUCCGUGCCAGCAGCCGCCGUAA
rnacentral:rRNA from 1 species